GACGAACGCUGGCGGCGUGCUUAACACAUGCAAGUCGAACGGAAAGGCCUCUUUCGGGGGGUACUCGAGUGGCGAACGGGUGAGUAACACGUGAGUAACCUGCCCUUGACUUUGGGAUAACUUCAGGAAACUGGGGCUAAUACCGGAUAGGAGCUCCUGCUGCAUGGUGGGGGUUGGAAAGUUUCGGCGGUUGGGGAUGGACUCGCGGCUUAUCAGCUUGUUGGUGGGGUAGUGGCUUACCAAGGCUUUGACGGGUAGCCGGCCUGAGAGGGUGACCGGCAACAUUGGGACUGAGAUACGGCCCAGACUCCUACGGGAGGCAGAAGUGGGGAAUAUUGCACAAUGGGUGGAAGCCUGAUGCAGCAACGCCGUGGGCGGGAGGACGGCCUUCGGGUUGGAAACCGCUUUCGCUCAUGACGAAGCUUUGUGUGACGGUAGUGGGUAAAGAAGCACCGGCUAACUACGUG
rnacentral:rRNA from 1 species